rnacentral:tRNA from 1 species
UUCGGUAUAGCUCAACGGCAGAGCUUUGAAGUGUGUAGGUUCGAGCCCUACUUCCGAAU